CCCUUUAAACAUUGGCACACAGGUUGAUAGAGGAAAGCUCAUUCUCAGUUCCUUUUGGAUGGAAAUUUCCCUCCGCUCUCAAGCCCUUCUCUCAGCUGUGAAUCACCACAUCCAUCCCAAAGUUGCACCACUUCACUGUUUACCAGGGCUUUCCUAAAAUCAUUACAGAUUGAAGAUUGCAAGAACCUCAGGGUGCCUCGAUCAGAGUGGAGCCUCCACAGCUUGAUCUCUCCUGCAGCAUUCCGCACUUGCAAUCAAUAUCCCAAUGUGGUUUCCUUUUCAGCAAUUUUGCAGGAAUUUUCUCUUCCAACUUUGUUCCUCUUGUUGCUGUCUCUCACAAUUCUAUAUUGCGGAAUUGUAUCAUGAACAUCACAGUGAUCAAACUCAUGUCAGUAGAACCAAAUGCAGUUCCAUGUUUUGAAUUAAGGAAUCAAUUUUUGAUGCUAUGGAAGUCUCCUUCAAGGCUGGGGUCUUACCAAAGUUGUGUAAUUUGAGGAGAAUUCAGAUUGGUUUGAGAAGAUUGAAAAUGUAGCUACCACAGCUGGAAAGAAUUUCAUCACUUUAUCAAAACCAUUGACGUGCACACACUGCAUUUG